GACGAACGCUGGCGGCGUGCCUAAUACAUGCAAGUCGAACGCAGUGGGGACGGGUGAGUAACACGUGGGUAACCUCCCAUCAGAGGGGAUAACACUUGGAAACAGGUGCUAAACCGAUACUGAUGGAUGGACCCGCGGUGCAUUAGCUAGUUGGUGAGGUAACGGCUAGCCAAUGCCACUAGGCAUAGACGACCUGUGAGGGUGAUCUGCCACACUGGGACGGAGACACGGCCCAGACUCCUACGGGAGGCAGCAGUAGGGAAGCUUCGGUAAUGGACGAAAGUCUGAACGAGCCACGCCGCGUGAGUGAAGAAGGUUUUCGGAGCGUAAAACUCUGUUGUUAGAGAAGCGGGAUCUAACCAGAAAGCCACGGCUAACUACGUGCCAGCAGCCGCGGUAAUUC
rnacentral:rRNA from 1 species